GGACCCGCACAAGUAGUGGAGCAUGUGGUUUAAUUCGAAGAUACGCGCAGAACCUUACCAACACUUGACAUGUUCGUCGCGACUUUAAGAGAUUAGAGUUUUCGGUUCGGCCGGACGAAACACAGGUGCUGCAUGGCUGUCGUCAGCUCGUGUCGUGAGAUGUUGGGUUAAGUCCCGCAACGAGCGCAACCCUCACUUUUAGUUGCCAUCAUUUAGUUGGGCACUCUGAAAGAACUGCCAGUGAUAAGCUGGAGGAAGGUGGGGAUGACGUCAAGUCCUCAUGGCCCUUACGUGUUGGGCUACACACGUGCUACAAUGGUAUUUACAACAGGAAGCAAGACUGCGAAGUUAAGCAAAUCCUUAAAAGAUACCUCAGUUCGGAUUGCACUCUGCAACUCGAGUGCAUGAAGCUGGAAUUACUAGUAAUCGUGGAU
rnacentral:rRNA from 1 species